rnacentral:rRNA from 1 species
UACGUAGGGUGCGAGCGUUGUCCGGAAUUAUUGGGCGUAAAGAGCUCGUAGGCGGUCUGUCGCGUCGGUCGUGAAAACUUGGGGCUUAACCCUGAGCUUGCGGUCGAUACGGGCAUGACUGGAGUUCGGCAGGGGAGACUGGAAUUCCUGGUGUAGCGGUGAAAUGCGCAGAUAUCAGGAGGAACACCGGUGGCGAAGGCGGGUCUCUGGGCCGAUACUGACGCUGAGGAGCGAAAGCGUGGGGGAGCGAACAGG